rnacentral:tRNA from 1 species
AGUGGCGUAGUGGUUAGAGCACUGGGCUCUAGGUCGGAUCAUGCACAUUCGAUCCCCACUGCUG